GACGAACGCUGGCGGCGUGCUUAACACAUGCAAGUCGAGCGAUGAAUUUUCUUCGGAAAUGGAUUAGCGGCGAACGGGUGAGGAACACGUGAAGAAUCUGCCCUCCACUUUGGGAUAACACAGGGAAACCUGUGCUAAUACCGAAUAUUGAAACAUAAGUGGCAUCACUGAGUUUUGAAAGAAUUUCGGUGGAGGAUGACUUCGCGGCCUAUCAGCUAGUUGGCGAGGUAAUGGCUCACCAAGGCAACGGCGGGUAGCCGGCCUGAGAGGGCGACCGGCCACACUGGGACUGAGACACGGCCCAGGCUCCUACGGGAGGCAGCAGUGGGGAAUAUUGGGCAAUGGAGGAAACUCUGACCCAGCGACGCCGCGUGCGGGAUGAAGGCCUUCGGGUUGUAAACCGCUUUCAGUAGGGAAGAAGCGAAAGUGACGGUACCUACAAAAGAAGCACCGGCUAACUAUGUGCCAGCAGCCGCGGUAA
rnacentral:rRNA from 1 species